rnacentral:rRNA from 1 species
AACGCUAGCGGCAGGCCUAAUACAUGCAAGUCGAACGGUAAGGUCUCUUCGGAGAUACACGAGUGGCGCACGGGUGAGUAACGCGUAUGCAACCUACCUUGAACUGAGGGAUAGCCCAGAGAAAUCUGGAUUAAUACUUCAUAAUAAUAUAAAACGACAUCGUUUAAUAUUUAAAGCUCCGGCGGUUUAAGAUGGGCAUGCGUGACAUUAGUUAGUUGGUAAGGUAACGGCUUACCAAGACAGCGAUGUCUAGGGGUUCUGAGAGGAUUUUCCCCCACACUGGUACUGAGACACGGACCAGACUCCUACGGGAGGCAGCAGUAAGGAAUAUUGGGCAAUGGACGAAAGUCUGACCCAUCCAUGCCGCGUGCAGGAUGACAGCCCUAUGGGUCGGUAAACUGCUUUUAUAUAGGAAGAACAUUUUCUACGUGUAGAGAACUGACGGUACUAUAAGAAUAAGGACCGGCUAACUCCGUGCCAGCAGCCGCGGUAAUACGGAGGGUCCAAGCGUUAUCCGGAUUUAUUGGGUUUAAAGGGUCCGUAGGCGGGAAGAUAAGUCAGUGGUGAAAGCCUACAGCUCAACUGUAGAACUGCCAUUGAAACUGUUUUUCUUGAAUUUAGAUGAAGUGGGCGGAAUAUAUCAUGUAGCGGUGAAAUGCAUAGAUAUGAUAUAGAACACCGAUUGCGAAGGCAGCUCACUAAACUAAUAUUGACGCUGAGGGACGAAAGUGUGGGGAGCGAACAGGAUUAGAUACCCUGGUAGUCCACACCGUAAACGAUGAUUACUGGAUGUUGGCAAUACACCGUCAGCGUCUGAGCGAAAGUAUUAAGUAAUCCACCUGGGGAGUACGCUCGCAAGAGUGAAACUCAAAGGAAUUGACGGGGGCCCGCACAAGCGGAGGAGCAUGUGGUUUAGUUCGAUGAUACGCGAGGAACCUUACCUGGGCUCAAACGUAGAGUGACCAUCUGUGAGCAGAUUUUCCUUCGGGACAGUCUACGAGGUGCUGCAUGGUUGUCGUCAGCUCGUGCCGUGAGGUGUCGGGUUAAGUCCCAUAACGAGCGCAACCCCUAUCUUUAGUUGCCAUCAGGUAAUGCUGGGGACUCUAAAGAAACUGCCUACGCAAGUAGUGAGGAAGGUGGGGAUGACGUCAAAUCAGCACGGCCCUUACGUCCAGGGCUACACACGUGCUACAAUGGUCGAUACAGAGGGCAGCUACCUGGUGACAGGAUGCAAAUCUCGAAAAUCGAUCUCAGUUCGGAUCGAAGUCUGCAACUCGACUUCGUGAAGUUGGAUUCGCUAGUAAUCGCAUAUCAGCCAUGAUGCGGUGAAUACGUUCCCGGGCCUUGUACACACCGCCCGUCAAGCCAUGGAAGCUGGGGGUACCUGAAGUUCGUGACCGCAAGGAGCGACCUAGGGUAAAACUAGUAACUAGGGCUAAGUCGUAACA